GUUAAGCGACUAAGCGUACACGGUGGAUGCCCUGGCAGUCAGAGGCGAUGAAGGACGUGCUAAUCUGCGAUAAGCGUCGGUAAGGUGAUAUGAACCGUUAUAACCGGCGAUUUCCGAAUGGGGAAACCCAGUGUGUUUCGACACACUAUCAUUAACUGAAUCCAUAGGUUAAUGAGGCGAACCGGGGGAACUGAAACAUCUAAGUACCCCGAGGAAAAGAAAUCAACCGAGAUUCCCCCAGUAGCGGCGAGCGAACGGGGAGCAGCCCAGAGCCUGAAUCAGUGUGUGUGUUAGUGGAAGCGUCUGGAAAGGCGCGCGAUACAGGGUGACAGCCCCGUACACAAAAAUGCACAUGCUGUGAGCUCGAUGAGUAGGGCGGGACACGUGGUAUCCUGUCUGAAUAUGGGGGGACCAUCCUCCAAGGCUAAAUACUCCUGACUGACCGAUAGUGAACCAGUACCGUGAGGGAAAGGCGAAAAGAACCCCGGCGAGGGGAGUGAAAAAGAACCUGAAACCGUGUACGUACAAGCAGUGGGAGCACGCUUAGGCGUGUGACUGCGUACCUUUUGUAUAAUGGGUCAGCGACUUAUAUUCUGUAGCAAGGUUAACCGAAUAGGGGAGCCGAAGGGAAACCGAGUCUUAACUGGGCGUUAAGUUGCAGGGUAUAGACCCGAAACCCGGUGAUCUAGCCAUGGGCAGGUUGAAGGUUGGGUAACACUAACUGGAGGACCGAACCGACUAAUGUUGAAAAAUUAGCGGAUGACUUGUGGCUGGGGGUGAAAGGCCAAUCAAACCGGGAGAUAGCUGGUUCUCCCCGAAAGCUAUUUAGGUAGCGCCUCGUGAAUUCAUCUCCGGGGGUAGAGCACUGUUUCGGCAAGGGGGUCAUCCCGACUUACCAACCCGAUGCAAACUGCGAAUACCGGAGAAUGUUAUCACGGGAGACACACGGCGGGUGCUAACGUCCGUCGUGAAGAGGGAAACAACCCAGACCGCCAGCUAAGGUCCCAAAGUCAUGGUUAAGUGGGAAACGAUGUGGGAAGGCCCAGACAGCCAGGAUGUUGGCUUAGAAGCAGCCAUCAUUUAAAGAAAGCGUAAUAGCUCACUGGUCGAGUCGGCCUGCGCGGAAGAUGUAACGGGGCUAAACCAUGCACCGAAGCUGCGGCAGCGACACUAUGUGUUGUUGGGUAGGGGAGCGUUCUGUAAGCCUGUGAAGGUGUACUGUGAGGUAUGCUGGAGGUAUCAGAAGUGCGAAUGCUGACAUAAGUAACGAUAAAGCGGGUGAAAAGCCCGCUCGCCGGAAGACCAAGGGUUCCUGUCCAACGUUAAUCGGGGCAGGGUGAGUCGACCCCUAAGGCGAGGCCGAAAGGCGUAGUCGAUGGGAAACAGGUUAAUAUUCCUGUACUUGGUGUUACUGCGAAGGGGGGACGGAGAAGGCUAUGUUGGCCGGGCGACGGUUGUCCCGGUUUAAGCGUGUAGGCUGGUUUUCCAGGCAAAUCCGGAAAAUCAAGGCUGAGGCGUGAUGACGAGGCACUACGGUGCUGAAGCAACAAAUGCCCUGCUUCCAGGAAAAGCCUCUAAGCAUCAGGUAACAUCAAAUCGUACCCCAAACCGACACAGGUGGUCAGGUAGAGAAUACCAAGGCGCUUGAGAGAACUCGGGUGAAGGAACUAGGCAAAAUGGUGCCGUAACUUCGGGAGAAGGCACGCUGAUAUGUAGGUGAAGUCCCUCGCGGAUGGAGCUGAAAUCAGUCGAAGAUACCAGCUGGCUGCAACUGUUUAUUAAAAACACAGCACUGUGCAAACACGAAAGUGGACGUAUACGGUGUGACGCCUGCCCGGUGCCGGAAGGUUAAUUGAUGGGGUUAGCCGCAAGGCGAAGCUCUUGAUCGAAGCCCCGGUAAACGGCGGCCGUAACUAUAACGGUCCUAAGGUAGCGAAAUUCCUUGUCGGGUAAGUUCCGACCUGCACGAAUGGCGUAAUGAUGGCCAGGCUGUCUCCACCCGAGACUCAGUGAAAUUGAACUCGCUGUGAAGAUGCAGUGUACCCGCGGCAAGACGGAAAGACCCCGUGAACCUUUACUAUAGCUUGACACUGAACAUUGAGCCUUGAUGUGUAGGAUAGGUGGGAGGCUUUGAAGUGUGGACGCCAGUCUGCAUGGAGCCGACCUUGAAAUACCACCCUUUAAUGUUUGAUGUUCUAACGUGGACCCGUGAUCCGGGUUGCGGACAGUGUCUGGUGGGUAGUUUGACUGGGGCGGUCUCCUCCUAAAGAGUAACGGAGGAGCACGAAGGUUGGCUAAUCCUGGUCGGACAUCAGGAGGUUAGUGCAAUGGCAUAAGCCAGCUUGACUGCGAGCGUGACGGCGCGAGCAGGUGCGAAAGCAGGUCAUAGUGAUCCGGUGGUUCUGAAUGGAAGGGCCAUCGCUCAACGGAUAAAAGGUACUCCGGGGAUAACAGGCUGAUACCGCCCAAGAGUUCAUAUCGACGGCGGUGUUUGGCACCUCGAUGUCGGCUCAUCACAUCCUGGGGCUGAAGUAGGUCCCAAGGGUAUGGCUGUUCGCCAUUUAAAGUGGUACGCGAGCUGGGUUUAGAACGUCGUGAGACAGUUCGGUCCCUAUCUGCCGUGGGCGCUGGAGAACUGAGGGGGGCUGCUCCUAGUACGAGAGGACCGGAGUGGACGCAUCACUGGUGUUCGGGUUGUCAUGCCAAUGGCACUGCCCGGUAGCUAAAUGCGGAAGAGAUAAGUGCUGAAAGCAUCUAAGCACGAAACUUGCC
rnacentral:rRNA from 1 species